rnacentral:Y_RNA from 1 species
GGCUGGUCUGAAUGCAGUGUUGUCUACAACUAAAUGAUCACAACCAGUUACAGAUUCCUUUGUUCCUUCUCCACUCCCACUGCUUCUUCGCUUGACUAGCCUAAA